rnacentral:lncRNA from 1 species
UUCCCACCCCUGCUUUGCUAUUUUUGUACCUCCGUGACAGAAAAACAAAACCCUGAGGAAAAGUCAGGCGACUUCAUUCCCUGCCGUCCGCGCCGGGGCCUCGACUACUGCUGGCGUCCGCGGCUUUCGCCCGCCGCUCCACAGGUGGAUAAAACCUUGUAUGCAUCAACUACCUCUCUUUCAAGAUGGAAUUUUCAGAACACAUGGUCUGGGAUUGGAGCUGGAGCUUGGAAAUAUUGAGUGGGUGAGAAAGACUUCAUUGUUUUGUGACAGGUUAUUGUGAAAACAGCCCACUUCUGCCUGAAGAUCCAAGCCCAAGGCCUUCCUGGCCCCAGGGAUUUUGGGAUUCUUAAGAGCAAAAGAAGGAAAGAAAACAUGAGAGACUUUGGUACUGGGUACGAGCAUGAAAAGAGAAGGAUUGGUAAAAAAUAUCUCUUGGGAGCUCCUGCUGUGAUGCGAGGGUUAGUCCUGCCAUCCCAGGGCAAACUUCAUAAAAGAGGUCAGAUCCAAAGAUUGCAGAAGCCAGAAGAGACACUGCAUCCUUCCUGGUUAGGCCUGGUUAUGCCAGCUUCCUGGACUCUGCUGGCUGGUUGCCUCAAUCCAUGCCUCAGAUUGGGUGGAGUCUACAGAUUGAGGGCAAAUCCCACCUCCUCCCAACCCCCACCACUAGGCCUAUCUGGAAGACAGAAAAGAGCAGCAAGAAAUCUCAGGGAUUUUCUUUGAUUACUCAGAGGGAAAUAGUUUUCAUACUCAGAGACUGAUAGGCAGUCAAUAACAUUUGCUUUGUGAAUUUUCACCCAGCUACUUCUGGAUGAGAUAAUCACCUUUGCUGCUAAAGAAAAUCUUAGCUCAUUUUCUUCUUGGGGUGAUGGUAUAAGAGUUGAUAAACAAUUUGUAAGUAUUUAUCAUCUGGCAUAUUUAACAAAAUAUCUUUGUGAUCCAUAAAGCAAGGCAUAAAUUACAUUUGAAAGUGCAUUCCAUUAAACAAGAACAUUAGAGAGAAAGAGAGAGAGAGAGACACUUUGGACCUUGAUCUGUUCCAAUGACAUAGAAACUUGCUUUACAGAUUGGCUUUCUCCUAGUGCACUAUUGCAAAAUUAGAGCUAUACUAGAAACAUCCUUAGAGUUUGAUAAUUGAAUUACAGUGGAGAAAAAUAAGGUUUAUAUUUCUUAACUAUACCUUUGAAUUUCUUACUACUACAGAGGAUAAUUUUCCUGGUCCCUGGGGUUAGUGGUGAAAAACUAAUUGUUUUAUUAAAUUCAUGCCUCAUUCUUGUGACCCCAGAUUUUCGAAUUUGAAUAGGAAUGCAGUCAAGGGGUGAAUUCUGACAUCUUCAUUCUUUACUUAGCUCUUAAAAGCCAAGAUACUUUAUAUUACUUGUUUAUACUAAUCUUUGAUCACAAUAUAUUUACAUUGCUGGCAAGUAAAGUCUCUUAAUAAUAUAGCAGCAAAUAUUAGCUCUUCAUUCAAAAUUGUUAUUAUUCGGGAGUACUAUACAUGGUCUCUUACAUUAGGAUUUAUGAAAGUAGGAAUUAAUUAUGUUUAUUUAAUUCAAACAAGUGUUUUUCUCAAAGUAAUGAGUGUUAUGAAGGGAACUUAUUUGACCACAUACAACCCUGAGAUUCUUAUCUUUUUGGCAAAUAGCACUAACUGUGGAAAAGCUUAAGAUCAGUGGGGUUGUCGGUUUCCCCACACGUUGAGUUGAUGAUAGGUUAUAAUAAAAAUAUCAGACCAAAUUCUGCCACUUAUAUAGGCAUGUAUUAAACAUGUAUUUGUAAGCAAGUAUACAACAGUUCAUAGAAUAAGAUAAAAACCUAGCUCUCUGUCCUCUUUAGUGCUCUAAUGACUUCAAGCUGGCUCAACAAUAUUCCAGAGGCAAGAUUCUAUUACUCUUAUAGUUAGCAUCGGAAAUCCAAUGGAUGGACACUGGAUUCUUUGAGGAUCAAGCUUGAGGUGCCAAGCAUGGGAUGCAUUUCUGAAAUAUUUGAGUUUAAUCGUAUAUCUUGAAUACCACUUAUUAUUCCAGUGAGAUCUGAUUGAUGAUUAACUUAUUGAACAAGUCACUAAUUUUACCAAUGAAAAUAUAUUUCUGAUGUUUACUUUGCUAAUUAGCAAGACAUCUGGGUUUGGUAUACACAUCUGGUGAGAGAUGAAGGGCAGAAAUUGAGGCACAGAAACAAUAAGUGGUUUCCCUUAAGAUCAGAUAGCUAGUAAGUGUCUCAGCUUGUUUGUGCAUCCCACAGUGAGGAGCCUGUGUUUUUUUAAAUCUCUCUGGAUUAGUUGUGCUGGUAAGUUCUCUAGAAGCAACUUGACUCCACUGUUUUGAGGGCAGAAAUAAAAUGAACAGGCUAUAAUUGAGGUUGUAGAAGAGAUAAAAGAAAAUCUGUGAUGCAAGUAACUACACAGAGUCCUGUCUGUGAAAUGCAGGAGGCUGUCCAUAACUAAAGGCAUCUACCUUUAGAAAGGCAGUAUCAGAUUGUCACUUAUCUUGAUGGUCAUGAGAUAGGGAUGUUCUGGUUAAUAAAAUAUUCUAGUUAGUAGAGAUUCUCAGUAGACUCUAUACUCUAAUUUCUCAUUUAAAAGAAAUUGGACUCUUACAAAAUAAACAUGAUAUGAACCCAGAAUUUAACUUACUAUUUUCUUACUGUUAUCCCAAAGACAUUACAUGAUAUUGAACACUUUGAGGUAAUUAUGGUACUGGGGGAGCAUAAUUGUUCCUACUAAUAGAAACAAAAUACUAAGGAUUUUUCUAGAAACUCUUAAGAGCCAUUUACCUGGCUAAGGAUUUUUCUAGAAACUGUCCUUUCAAGAGCCAUUUACCUGGAAUAAAAGUGAUGUGUAUGAUAAACAGUUGGCUAUACAGACCCAAGAUGAAAUUCAAAAUAUGACUUCUGAAAAUUCUGAAUUCAAAAUCAAGUUUUUGAUACUUUAGGAUCAGCUAGAUGAUCAUCAUAAAUUUGUCUCCUUUCCACUUCAAUUUUUUUUCAUCUUCACCAAUCUACACUAUAUUCAAGCCAACUUACCAUUUCCCUUACUCCGUUUUCCCUGCAACUUCCCUAAGCUGUUAGUGUUAUUGUACUACUCUUCUUUAUGCCACUUAGGCUUGAAUUCUUGGCCCAAUUUCUCUCACUUCUGCAUGAAGUCACCAAAUGCCAGUGAUUCUGCUUCUAACAUAUUUCAGACAUCAUUUCUGUCCAUUCCCACUACCAGAAAGAAACUCUGUGUUAGUUUUUCUUUUACCUUUAUUGACUUUUUAUAAUAGCAUUUAUGGCGUGUUGAAUUGUGGCCCCCCAAAAAUAUGUCCAAGUCUUAACCCUGGUGCCUAUAAAUGUGACCUUAUUUGGGAAAAGAGUCUCACAGAUGAAAUUAAGUUAAAGAUCUUACCCUGGAUUAACCAGGUAGAUGCUAAAUCGAAUAAAAAAGUGUCUGUACAGGAAGAGAAGAGGAGAAUCACAGAGAAGAAAGCCAUGUGAAGAUGGUAACAGACACUGGAGUCUGUAACCCCAAGUGUAAUGCGACGGGUUCUCCACCAGGUUACUUAAGGGUGUAUGUCCACUGCUUGAGCCCUGAAGACUGGGUGGUGAGCCAAGGUCAUGGUGCUCAGCCAAGGAACACCAUGUGCUGUGUUCCCUGAGAACACAAACAUUUGGGAGAGUACCUGGGGACAUACCAAGAAAAACACUCAUCACACACAGAGAAGAAAAGCCAGAAAAUUAGCUUAAAAGCAGCUUGAAGAUGGGUGGGGUAAGGGGGUGUGUGGGGCAAAUCUCCAGAGUUGUCCUGCUACCACCUAGGAAUGCCCUGUAUGUUAAGUCCUAAUAAACUCA